GGACUCGUGCCUGAAAAAGGACUACUUUGAUAGAGUAAAUAAUGUGGGUUAAACCCCCUCCGAAUCCU
ensembl:Mt_tRNA